rnacentral:rRNA from 1 species
UGGGGAAUAUUGCGCAAUGGGGGCAACCCUGACGCAGCCAUGCCGCGUGUGUGAAGAAGGCCCUAGGGUUGUAAAGCACUUUCAAUUGGGAAGAAAAGCUGUACGUUAAUAGCGUGCAGCCCUGACAUUACCUUUAGAAGAAGCACCGGCUAACUCCGUGCCAGCAGCCGCGGUAAUACGGAGGGUGCGAGCGUUAAUCGGAAUUACUGGGCGUAAAGCGCGCGUAGGCGGUUGUUAAGUCGGAUGUGAAAGCCCCGGGCUUAACCUGGGAACUGCAUUCGAUACUGCCGACUAGAGUACGAGAGAGGGAGGUAGAAGUUCCACGUGUAGCGGUGAAAUGCGUAGAAUAUGUGGAGGAAUACCGGUGGCGAAGGCGGCCUCCUGGCUCGAUACUGACGCUGAGGUGCGAAAGCGUGGGGAGCAAACA